AGGCAUUUUAGCAAGGCUUCUCACAGGCUUAAUUCUUGCAACCAGUUUAAAUGAAGACUAGGGCAGGGUGUUGGUGCCUGAAGCUAAUGACUAUUGAGGGCUGGGCUUCCUUAUUCGGAAGCCUUGGACAGCCCAGAACCUUAAAUUUGUCUGGAAGAUUUUCUUCCCAGCUUUUAAGCUCCAGAUCCCAGAGCACAUGGAUCCGCUCAUGGGCAGGUAUCACGACCUCCCCACUUCCGCAGAAAGCGGUAAAGUUAAGCGGCCAAAGGUUGUACACAAAUAAGGACCAUGGAAGUAUCUGCACCCAGAUGGCCUAACCCCUAAAGGACUGUUAUGGGUGUGAGGUACUUCCUUCAGCAUCUUGAUUUAGGAGGUGCAAAUAUGACCAGCCAUGAGGAACUGCAACUGUGAACUGUGAGCUGAAAUAAACCUAUUUCCAACUAA